CUGAUUUUGGAGGUAGCAGCUACCAAUAAGAGUUGCAGUGAGCUAACUGGGGACAGGUCCCCCUGGAAAUCAUAAUGGUGGGUGUCAAGAACUGGGGGGAAGAGGCUGCAGGGGCUCCAGGCCUUUAGGAUGUUUAGAUUCCAUUGUGUCGUAGCCUUGUUUUAACCUACCUUGCCUCAUUCUGUCUCAUCAAUCAUAAUUUAAAUAUUUGUUUUCUCUACAUCUCUUUGAUCUUUUCUGUAAAUUGAGGUCUUCGACAGAAUUUUAUGUAAAAAGAAUGCUGACAGCGGCAUUCGCAUUUUUAAAAAAAUUCUCUCUGAUUAACACAUUUCUCUUUUGUGGCUGAACCACUCAUCAUAGGAGGAUUGUUCACUAGUCCUUUGCUUUCAACAGGCCUUAAGAUCAUCUGUGGGUUGUGUAACUGGAGAAUUGUGUCUGGGAGGGUUUGGGCUUCCUGGCUACAAAGCAUCUUCUCUCCCAUCUUGCAGUAGGUUGACCGUCUCUGCACUGCCGAGCCACAGGCCUGGGGUCUGAGAGGUACCUUGCUCUCUUACAGCACCUCUUUCUGCGUCUGUUACAGGAAAGUGUUCAGAAGAACCAAUGUGUUUUCCCAAGAAAAAGAAAUCAGGAACCUGGUGUAUUGUGCCUGAUGCUUUAGAUAAACUAAUCCAAAUCAGGUGGUGGCCCCACCCUCUGUCACAUAAAUCCUCCCGCCGAGACUUCGCAUUUUUGUGAGGCAUGGUUUUGAGAUUUCAGAAAUUAACUUCUUUUGGGCGACGCCUAGAUUCAGCUGUGAAUGAGUCUGUGCACAGAUUGUAAAACAUGCUGUGGCCUCAUUCGUCUCUGCUGGAAGGAAGUGGCAGCCCCUUGCCAUACCAGGAAAGGGGAAUGAAUGCUUUCCAGCUUGUUUUCUGAACUGCCCAGAAGAGUGGAAUUGCUGCAAGAACCCUCCUCUGCACUGGAUUAAAUAUUCUGCAGGGCCAUCCAAGGUUAAGUCUCUUCUUUAUUUAAACUGUAACACAUUUCCUAUUUUUCAUCCUCGGUUCUAUUACUGUGUGUAUAUUUUUAAUAAACAAACUUAUUUUCCUUUAUCUUUUUCUUAUUUAGUUUAAUAUAUUUUUAAACAAGUGAGCUUCAGAGAAUCAUUGUGUAUCUCAAUUGCAUAUGUAAAAAUACUUUCAUAGCCUAUGAAGAUCUGUAAAAACAUAAAGUAUUGCCAUUAUAUGUGCAGCAUAUCUUAUAAUUCUGCAUUUCAAAUGCAUGAUCAGUAUCAUGUGAAAAACCCUAAUUAUUUUAUUUAGCUCACAUGGGUACGUUCAAAAUAAGUGCUUCAGCUUGGCAAUAUUGACAAAGUCCAAGCAGAUUUUUUCCCCUCUUUGACACCUUUAAUUUUAGGACAAAAUAUGCAUGGAAAAAAUUCUAUUUAUGAAUUACAGUAAGGCCUUAAUAAGUUAUUUCAGCCAAGAAGUCAGAUACCUUUACAUGUUUUGUUAAAUGUAAAGAUAGAAUUUGAUUGUUUGACAA
rnacentral:lncRNA from 1 species